rnacentral:rRNA from 1 species
GAUUACUUUCGGGUAAUUGAGAGCGGCGUACGGGUGCGGAACACGUGUGCAACCUGCCUUUAUCAGGGGGAUAGCCUUUCGAAAGGAAGAUUAAUACCCCAUAAUAUAUUAUUCGGCAUCGGGUGAUAUUGAAAACUACGGUGGAUAGAGAUGGGCACGCGCAAGAUUAGCUAGUUGGUGAGGUAACGGCUCACCAAGGCGACGAUCUUUAGGGGGCCUGAGAGGGUGAUCCCCCACACUGGUACUGAGACACGGACCAGACUCCUACGGGAGGCAGCAGUGAGGAAUAUUGGACAAUGGGUGAAAGCCUGAUCCAGCCAUCCCGCGUGCAGGAAGACGGCCCUAUGGGUUGUAAACUGCUUUUAUCUGGGGAUAAACCUACUUACGUGUAAGUAGCUGAAGGUACCAGAAGAAUAAGCACCGGCUAACUCCGUGCCAGCAGCCGCGGUAAUACGGAGGGUGCAAGCGUUAUCCGGAUUUAUUGGGUUUAAAGGGUCCGUAGGCGGACUGAUAAGUCAGUGGUGAAAUCCGACAGCUUAACUGUCGAACUGCCAUUGAUACUGUUAGUCUUGAGUAAGGUUGAAGUGGCUGGAAUAAGUAGUGUAGCGGUGAAAUGCAUAGAUAUUACUUAGAACACCAAUUGCGAAGGCAGGUCACUAAGUCUUAACUGACGCUGAUGGACGAAAGCGUGG